UCAAAGGCUCUUUUAAGAGCCACCCACCCUCUCAAAUAAAGAGUUG
rfam:Felis catus isolate Cinnamon breed Abyssinian chromosome C1, whole genome shotgun sequence.